rnacentral:rRNA from 1 species
GACGAACGCUGGCGGCGUGCUUAACACAUGCAAGUCGAGCGGUAAGGCCCUUUCGGGGUACACGAGCGGCGAACGGGUGAGUAACACGUGGGUGACCUGCCCUUAGCUCUGGGAUAAGCCUGGGAAACUGGGUCUAAUACCGGAUAUGACUCCAUGACGCAUGUUGUGGGGUGGAAAGCCUUGUGCGGCUAGGGAUGGGCCGUGCGGCCUAUCAGCUUGUUGGUGGGGUGANGGCCUACCAAGGCGACGACGGGUAGCCGGCCUGAGAGGGCGACCGGCCACACUGGGACUGAGACACGGCCCAGACUCCUACGGGAGGCAGCAGUGGGGAAUCUUGCGCAAUGGGCGAAAGCCUGACGCAGCGACGCCGCGUGGGGAUGACGGCCUCGGUU